rnacentral:rRNA from 1 species
UACGUAGGGUGCAAGCGUUAAUCGGAAUUACUGGGCGUAAAGCGUGCGCAGGCGGUUAUGCAAGGCAGAUGUGAAAUCCCCGGGCUUAACCUGGGAAUGGCGUUUGGGACUGGGUCGCUAGAGUGUGGCAGAGGGAGGUGGAAUUCCACGUGUAGCAGUGAAAUGCGUAGAGAUGUGGAGGAACACCGAUGGCGAAGGCAGCCUCCUGGGCCAGCACUGACGCUCAUGCACGAAAGCGUGGGGAGCAAACAGG